rnacentral:rRNA from 1 species
AGGUCAAACCGGGAGGAAGUGGGGAUGACGUCAAGUCCUCAUGGCCUUUAUGACCAGGGCUACACACGUACUACAAUGGCCGGUACAAAGGGCAGCCACUUAGCGAUAAGGAGCCAAUCCCGUAAAGCCGGUCUCAGUCCGGAUUGGAGUCUGCAACUCGACUCCAUGAAGUUGGAAUCGCUAGUAAUCGCAGAUCAGCACGCUGCGGUGAAUACCGGUUCCCGGGCCUU